UAGGGUAUGACGAAAUUGGCUUAUCGUGUUUGCUUUGGGUGUAAAAAGUUGUAGGUUCGAAUCCUACUACCCUAA
rnacentral:tRNA from 1 species